UACGGGGGGGGCAAGCGUUGUUCGGAAUUACUGGGCGUAAAGGGCUCGUAGGCGGCCUUGUAAGUCAGGUGUGAAAUCCCUCGGCUCAACCGAGGAAUAGCGCUUGAUACUGCAAGGCUUGAGGGAGACAGGGGUAAGCGGAACUGAUGGUGGAGCGGUGAAAUGCGUUGAUAUCAUCAGGAACACCGGUGGCGAAAGCGGCUUACUGGGUCUCUUCUGACGCUGAGGAACGAAAGCUAGGGGAGCGAACGGG
rnacentral:rRNA from 1 species